AGCUGCCGCUUGUUGUGCUGCAUCUGUGUAGUUCCUGCAUGAUUUGCCCUCCCAAAUCGUAGGUGCCAUUUGCCCAUAUUACUACUAACCACCGCUCCCAUCCCAUCUGAUUGUUUUGGCCUUGAUUCCGGUGCCUACCCGGAUUAGGGUUUCAAGCUCAAGCUCGGCGUCGACAUGUCAGUUGCUGCAAGUGGAGGCGGCAAGCUAGAGGCAGCAACUGCAUAACGUGCAAGAAAAUCGCUUAACUCUAGCUGGUUUUCUAGAGUCUGCAGUUCCUUGACACCCAGUCCGGAAAGAUCUUGUCCCAUCAACUGCCUGCAAGUAAACAGAGUUGCUUGUGUUUUGACUGAAUGCAUGAGGACAUUUCAGCAGCCUCUUGCAUGUCUGAUCAAUUUUUAAUAGGUGAAAGUUUUGCUGAAUUUAUGAUAUUUUUAUUAGUUGUUCCCUGUUAGGUUACUUGGUAUAGAUUAGGCUUCUGUAGGUAUGCAACUGUUAACUUUCUGUGGGGUUGGGAUUUGGAACUAUACCAAGAGCAAAUCAGAGUGUUCUGACAGUAACACUAAAUGGCUGAAGCUAUAUAUAUUUUUAAAAUCUAUAAGUGGCUUGCAAGAAAAAAUUAGUAACUUCUUACAUUCCUUUCAUUUCUGAAAACUGAAAACUGACAUCCACAUUAAUGGGGGAUUAUUCUAUACAGUAAGUGUGGAUUAAAUAUUUUAUGGAUUAUGAGUUUGUUCAUUGUCUAUGAAACUAAGUUUCACCUUUAUAGACAAGAUCACAAGUCUACCUGCUUGCAAAGGCAACAAUCUGCUGUGGUUAAAUAUUUCUACACAACGACUAGGCAAUUUUUUUGCGCUUUGAGUUUCUUUAUGCUACUGGAAAUUGAAUAUCAUGAAGGGUUUUACUCAAAAGAAUUAAGUGACUUUGGAAGUUAUGUUCUUGUGCUGACAAUGGUUGAUGUCUUGGCCAUCUUUUACGUGCUACAAAUCUUUGAUAAAUGCAUAUGGAAACUUUCAGGUUUCGGGCCAUACCGAUGAUUUUCUUGCAAGUUGUGCAGUUGUUGUCUCAAGCUUGCUGCCUCCCUUUGCCAGAACUAUUGAAUAUGAUAUGACUGUUAAGUAACGCCAUAUCCAGGUUUGCUAAAAGCAUUGAGAAAAAAAACGUGUUGCAUAGAAGCAUCGUUGUGCUAUCAAUGAGGUCACUAGAUUAUAUGCUGGUAUCAGAAUACUAGAUCACAUGAUAUCAGAGACAACUUAUUUGGUUAUAGAGUAAAUUCCAAGAGAGGACAAAGGGUUUGGAAGAGGAAAAACUAUUCAAAUGCAGAACAUUUGGUCUUGCUUACUUUUGAUAUUUCAUUUGAGUAAUGUUGUGUUGAGGACAAAGGGCUAGCUUGUGAGCUCUCAGAAAGAACAUAUAUCGGUACACCCCCAGCAUGAUGUGGUCUCACCGGCUCUGAACUAAAAUAUGAGCUAACCUGUCAGCAUUUGGAUUCCUAAUGAAAUACUCCCUCCGAUCCAUAAUAGGUGUCUUAGAUUUAGUACAAAGUUAGUACUCCCGCCGUCUCAUAUUAAAUGACGAAAUAUUACAUGCAUCUAGACGCUUUUUGGAUAUAGAUACAUCCAUAUUUGGGCAAAUUUGAGUCACUUAAUAUGGGACGGAGGGAGUACAACAUUGCACUAAACCUGAGACACUUACUAUGGAUCGGAGGGAGUAUGAGCUAGUCAUGGGACAGGUGAGGAUUCCGGUGAUAAUCUUGCUGGAAGAAGAUAUGCGUGGCACUAGUAGGUUGCAGUUAGUCUCAGUCUGAAGCAUAAUUGUCAGUGGGGUUAUAUAAAAAAUUUGAAUUACUCUGAGAAGGAUUUAUGCAUUGUAGAUCUUUCCGGAGGAUGAUGGGCACAGCCGCACAGGUACAUGCUUUCUUUGCUCCAUUUUUCCUGCUGAGGCCUUCUGAUUGUCUGAUCAUUUUUUUUUCUUCUGUUCUGAGGUUCAAGGAAGGUUAAGAAUCCGACAAGAGCUCUCAUUGGUGGUUUCCUGCAGCAACAUUCCCGUUAUUCUGUUUGCUAGUGAAUCCGACAAGAGCUCUGCAAGGGCUCUCAUUGGUGGUUUCCUGCAGCAAUAUUCCUGCUAUUCCGUUUGCUUGUUUCCUCUUGGGUUAGCAAUUAGAGCGUUUUACGACCUACAAUCAUCCUCUUAAUUCUGGUUGUAAGUUGUUUGGCUGUAGUGCAGUUUUUCGAUCUGAUCACACCCCUGCGUGAGUGCUCUGUUGGUUCUGUUUAAGCUUGUCUUUGCUGCUGGGACCUGCCAAAACUGAAUUCUGUUUGUUUGGGUUUGUUGCUAUAUGCAAUGGAACUGGAGGGGUUUUACUCUCUCCUGAGCAUAUAAAAA